rnacentral:misc_RNA from 1 species
UCGAAUCCUUAGGAUGUUGCUGGCCUCUCGGGGCAUCGUGCACUCCGCCUUUUCAUCUCACCUGUGCACUUAUUGUAGGCCGGACUUGUAAUGAGUCUGUGUCUAUGUUUUUAUACACACUCCAAAAAGUUUAUAGAAUGUUAUGAUAGGGUUUAUAACCCGAUUAAAUA